rnacentral:lncRNA from 1 species
AGUAGAAGAAAGACGUGGCAAAAGAAGACUAGAGGGCUGACAGAAGGAAGUCCAAGAAAGUCCAAGUGUGAAAACGAUCCUUUGCUGGUUCUGAGAUGUUCGGCGGCCAUGUGCAAUAACCAGGAAGAGGCCUCUAGGAGCUAGGGCCUCCAGGUGACAGCCAGCAAGGAAACAGUCCUACACCUGUGACAAACUGGAUUCUGCCAGCAACCUGAAUGAGCCUGGAAGUGGAUCCAUCCCCAGAGGCCCCAGGAAGGGAAGCAGCUUUGCUGACACCCUAAUUUCAGUCUUGUGGGACCCUAAGCUGAGAGCCCAGUCAAGCUCACCUGAAGCUCUGACCUUUGGAAACUGUGAGAUAAUAACCGGGAGUUGUUUUAAGCUCCUAAGUCUGUGGUCAUUUGUUAUGGCUGCGUAGAAAACCAAUACAAGGAUCAAGGUGCCGCAUGUGGUUUUCUCUGAGUAAUUGGACAGUGCCCCUUAGGCUGUUGACACGGAGUGAGCAGAGUGGCCCUUGCCCAAGCAGGGAGGAUGGUCAGAACACAGAACAGGCGUCCUGGAGAGGCAGAAGCUGCAUCAGUCAAGAAUCCAUCAUGAUUUUGCAAGAGGAUUCUAGGGAAAGCCCUCUUGCCUUGUGACUGGUAGAGGCCAACUCAAAUGCCCUAAGGGUUCUUCAUUCUGCCGUGCACCCCUCCUUGUUCUGGAAGUCCAGGUCCAAACUCCAGGGCCCAUCUCGCCUCUUUCUAUCCAAGCCUCUGCCUCGUGUGCCCACCCAGGGUCCUGACUCCCCAAAGCUGGGGUAUGCCUUGCUCUUGCCAUCUUGCCAGAAGCUCAAUUUCUUCCCUGAGCCCCAGUCUGAUGGCAGGAGCCUCUUUGUGCUGACCAACCUCCCCACUCUAGUCCCAGCCUCCCAUGGCUGGGAAAUGCGGUUAGCUCCAUCCCAACGGGGUUGCCCCUACUGGGAUGAGCCAAAAGUAGCAGGAAAAGACUCAGGAAUCCUUUAAUCCUCAGAGUAUUAUCAGCAUCCAGAGAUCAUCGCAUUCAACCCCUGCCUCCGUGCAGGAUGCCCGCCAUUCACUCUUGCUGGCCUCCUGUCAAUGGCUGACCAUGCUCAUCCUCACUGCCUGAAACUCAGUUUACCCCCACACUUGUCUGUUUGCUCCUGAUCUUGUCUCAUGAGAAAGAAUGGAAAUGUGUCUAUACCCACUCGGGUCAUAUGAACACAGCCACAGUCACCUCCCUUCCUCUUAAAUGACUGGGUUACUUAAGGGCCAGAGGGGGUUCAUGGGCCUGGAAGAUGUGGAGAUUGUGUGUCAAGGCCUUAUUCCUUCUGUGCUCCUGGAGCUGACAGUCAUGGUAAGGAGAGAGGCCAGCCUAGAGAAGACAUCUG